GAGUCUCGCUUUGUCGCCCAGGCUGGAGUGCAGUGGUGGUAUCUUGGCUCACUAUAACCUCUGCCUCCUGGGUUCAAGCGAUUCUCGUGCCUCAGCCUCCUGAAUAGCUGGAAUUACAGGAGUACACCACCACAACUGCCUAAUUUUUUUAAUUUUUAGUAGAGAUGGGGUUUCACCAUGUUGGCCAGGCUGGUCUCGAACUCCUGACCUCAGGUGAUCCACCCACCUCAACCUCCCAAAGUGCUGGGAUUACGGGCAUGAGCCACCACGCCUAGCCUGUAAAAUACCUACCUUUUCUAGAUUAUAAACUGUAAAGAUAAAGAAACAAAGGUAAAAAUAAAGGAAAAAAGAAUCUGCUCUUGCUGUGGCCUGGUAAUAAUUUUCUAGAAAGAGCCAUUGACAAACAAGGGCAAGAAGUUACCUAGAGAAAGGACGGAAAGAAAAGAGAAACAGACAUUGCUAGGCCAUCUCCAGUUAAGAAGCAUCUGAUCGACCAAAUCUCUGGCUUGCAAGUCCUUAAUUUCUCCUAAAUACUCUGGGGUGGUGGGCACGAGCACGUGCACCAAAUCCCUGCGCAAUCCAGUCUAUGCGCAGCACUGGUGUGUACAAAGGAACAGAACCAGGCCUCCCCUGCAACAAGCCCUCAUCAGCAUCCUGCGCCAGUCUGCCUGAGAGUUCAACAGGAGAGUUCAACAGGAGUGUUCAACAAGAGUUUACUUGUCGGGAAGGACCCAGCCUUGGGAAAGCCACAGCCUGCCAAAGAAGAUACAACCAAGGCCGGAUUAAGGGAGGCAAGAAAAUGAACUGGAGGGACGGAGACAUUUUAUAACCAGCUGCAAGGGGAGGAUGUUUACGGAGGCAAACAAAAGCAGCGCAUUUCCAUGAGCUUCAUUUAAUUUAUAUUUAGCCUUCUCAUUCUCAGUAAUUGAAUGCAUUAUUUAUUUUGGCCAGCAAUUGCUGCCUGUGGCUUUCAGGAGAAAAAUAAUAGGCUUUUAAGGUUUAGCGCCACAGCAUUUAGAGACUCGAGUAAAAAUCAUCAGAUAAAUUAUUAAACAUUAAGCGGACUCCACAUUCCCACUCUCCUGCAGUAGCUGAAAAGUGACAGGGGAGGCAGACGAGGAGCCCAGAGUCCUGACACCGAGGAUGCUGUCUUUAUCCAUGCACAGCAUAUGGGGCUGUUCUUACACCAGUUGUCCCUCGGUGGGGACCGAGGACGUUAUAGGAAGCGCAACAGGGAGAAACUACUCACAGCUCUCCUUCAACAGUUCUUGGGAGCACCAAAUCUUUGAUAAGGGGGAUACCUUUAUCCAGGUAGAGAAUUUUUGUUUUACUUUUUCAAAAAAAAUUACCAUAAAGCCCUAUAUGGGAUCUAAUUAUAAAUUUCCCGAGAUCCACAACAUUCAGAUCCAUGGUCCUGAUUUUAUAACAUGGGAAGAAGAAAGAUCUAGGCUUCCAAAGCCUCCACUUGCAGUUCUGGUAAGUGGUGUCAUAGCUUUGGUAUCUGCAGCUCACAAUUUGUUCCUAGUAUUGCAGGUAAAACCAACUCAGGUGUGCCUACCUAGGUCCACCAUUCCUGAGCUUUUAAAGAAGGAACUCAUUUAUAAGCAGAUUUAAAAUUUCUAAUAUCCAAGGAAGCGUCUUCUAAUUUUCAUCCUGUGCAUCACUAGGUUUUGGGUGGUGACUGUUAAUUUUUGUUUUGUUUCUCACUAACCCAUUAUUCUUUUUUUUUUUUUUUUUUUUUUCAAGACAGUCUUGCUCUGUUGCUCAAGUGGUACGAUCUCGGCUCACUGCAACCUCCACCUCCCAGGUUCACGCGACUGUUGUGCCUCAGCCUCCCGAUAACCCAUCAUUCUUAUCAAAGCAAGCAGUAGGAGAAAGUUCCAUGUUGACCUAUACACAAUGAAGACACGUGCCUGUCCUAGUGGGGAGAGCGGGUAUCACAGACAAUAAGCAAGUGGAGAAACACUGGCUGUGUCUGACAACACCUCCCAGAUGGGAAUGAGCUUCAGCUGCCCACAGGAACGACCUGUUCAAUGGAAUCUCUCUUGGUCGAGCGCAGUGGUUCACGCCUGUAACCCCAGCACUUUGGGAGGAUCACUUGAGCCCAGGUGAGAGGCAGGAGGAACAUUUGAGCCCAGG